rnacentral:rRNA from 1 species
GACGAACGCUGGCGGCGUGCUUAACACAUGCAAGUCGAACGGAAAGGCCCUGCUUUUGUGGGGUGCUCGAGUGGCGAACGGGUGAGUAACACGUGAGUAACCUGCCCUUGACUUUGGGAUAACUUCAGGAAACUGGGGCUAAUACCGGAUAGGAUCUCCUGCUGCAUGGUGGGGGUUGGAAAGUUUCGGCGGUUGGGGAUGGACUCGCGGCUUAUCAGCUUGUUUGUGGGGUAGUGGCUUACCAAGGCUUUGACGGGUAGCCGGCCUGAGAGGGUGACCGGCCACAUUGGGACUGAGAUACGGACCAGAAUCCUACGGGAGGCAGCAGUGGGGAAUAUUGCACAAUGGGCGGAAGCCUGAUGCAGCAACGCCGCGUGCGGGAUGACGGCCUUCGGGUUGUAAACCGCUUUCGCCUGUGACGAAGCGUGAGUGACGGUAAUGGGUAAAGAAGCACCGGCUAACUACGUG